UAUGAACCGUUAUAACCGGCGAUGUCCGAAUGGGGAAACCCAGUGUGAUUCGUCACACUAUCGUUAACUGAAUACAUAGGUUAACGAGGCGAACCGGGGGAACUGAAACAUCUAAGUACCCCGAGGAAAAGAAAUCAACCGAGAUUCCCCCAGUAGCGGCGAGCGAACGGGGAGCAGCCCAGAGUCUGAAUCAGCUUGUGUGUUAGUGGAACGGUCUGGAAAGUCCGACGGUACAGGGUGAUAGUCCCGUACACCAAAAUGCACAGGCUGUGAACUCGA
rnacentral:rRNA from 1 species